rnacentral:sRNA from 1 species
GGCUGCGCGGGUGGUGCGGGCGCUGUGGCCUGGUGGGUGCGCCUUGGCCUGGAGGCUGGGAGGCCGCCCCCAGCCGCUGCUACCCACGCAGAGCCGGGCUGGCUUCGCGGGGGCGGCGGGCGGCCCGAGCCCCGUGGCUGCAGCUCGUAAGGGGAGCCCGCGGCUGCUGGGAGCAGCGGCGCUGGCCCUGGGGGGAGCCCUGGGGCUGUACCACACGGCGCGGUGGCACCUGCGCGCCCAGGACCUCCACGCAGAGCGCUCAGCCGCGCAGCUCUCCCUGUCCAGCCGCCUGCAGCUGACCCUGUACCAGUACAAGACGUGUCCCUUCUGCAGCAAGGUCCGAGCCUUCCUCGACUUCCACGCCCUGCCCUACCAGGUGGUGGAGGUGAACCCUGUGCGCAGGGCUGAGAUCAAGUUCUCCUCCUACAGAAAGGUGCCCAUCCUGGUGGCCCAGGAAGGAGAAAGCUCGGGACGGCAGAUAUGAAAUGCCCGGCACAGUGCUUGGGGUCUAGUAUGUAGCUUCCAAAACCCACCCUGCCCCUCUACCUGGGAGGCCAAAUGGCAACAACUAAAUGACUCCUCUGUCAUCAUCAGCGCCCUCAAGACCUACCUGGUGUCGGGGCAGCCCCUGGAAGAGAUCAUCACCUACUACCCAGCCAUGAAGGCUGUGAACGAGCAGGGCAAGGAGGUGACCGAGUUCGGCAAUAAGUACUGGCUCAUGCUCAACGAGAAGGAGGCCCAGCAAGUGUAUGGCGGGAAGGAGGCCAGGACGGAGGAGAUGAAGUGGCGGCAGUGGGCGGACGACUGGCUGGUGCACCUGAUCUCCCCCAAUGUGUACCGCACGCCCACCGAGGCUCUGGCGUCCUUUGACUACAUUGUCCGCGAGGGCAAGUUCGGA